AAAUGACCAAUUAACAAACGCGCGCGAUCGUAGUAGAACGAAAGAAAAGAUUUGUAUGAUUUUGCGAAGCGAAGGUCUUUGACGUGAAAUAUCAUUUUUUUUUUUCAAAUAAAUCUGCUUAUUAUCUACGUGUAACCAUCGAACAAUUGCUUUUCGUUGACCGUUUCAAAUUGCCUAACAUCCCCUAAACGAUUAACAUUAACCGAUCAGCUUAUUAGUAAUGCUAUGUACGUAUAUAAUACAAUACACGUUGCUUUUUAAAAGUAAAAUACUUCAUUUCGUACGUCGUAUUUCUCUACUCGCGCGUUUUUAUCAAAUACCCAAGUACAUAUGCCUAAGUAUGCGUGCGUGUCACAUUCACAUUGGAAAAAGAACGCGUAUCAACGGAAUAUACUUUUCUUCUUCCUAACCUAUCGAUACGGUAUAGGCCAUAUCACGGCAAUCGUUCCGAGUCUUUUUUAACACUAGAACUAUCACAGCAGUCAAAUUGACUGGUUGUACGAUUUUAUUUUAAAACUCCUACUUCAUGUUACAUUCGUUCAUGAAUUUUAUUUUCUUUUCUAUGUAUUCAAACUGAAAUUUUGUAUCAAGGCUACUUAUACCAAUACCAGUCAAAGUGUAAAAUGGUCCUGCAAUCUGUUUAUCGAUCGUCGAUUAACCAGUUUCCUCGUUUUCUACAACUUGCCACGCGUUUUAAAAAUUUUUACUACGUAUCAUUCGAUAUGACGCUAGAAAUACCACACCAGUCAAAAACGACUGGUUCUACGAUUUUAUAAAUUUGUCAAGCCUCGUUUAGGGAUCCCAGAUGGAUUAAUAAUAGCAAAAAUGUACUACAUAACAUGGAAUUGCUUCUGUAAGAAAGUAAUAAAUCAAUAAAUAUAAAAAUAUUCUAUCAUUAUUACGUACGUUUUAAAGACCAGUCAUUUUCACUGGUUUUGGUAGAAAUAGCUUCGUGUUAACUAUCGGUAGUUCUAGUGUUAAACAGAUUCGCGUUUCGUUAUUUAGCUGAACAGCGAGAAGUUAAAACAUCUUUGACGCUAAACGCGCAGUUCUCCGUUCUCUUGCGUAGAAACAUCGCGAAUGGUGAAAAUUCGUUACGAGUCGAAGAAAAGAAAUGUAUUAAAUUCUCGCAACAUCUACGUAGAAGCACAACGACAUACUUAUAGAUGUUUCGCGAUAGACAUUCGUUUCUACCGUGGUGGUUCGAUGAUCCGCGCGCAUUGAUUUUACAUCGUUUGAUUUUUAUCCGCAAGCAGUGGCAAGAUAACGAAUCGCAGAACACGCUGCCACAACAUCCAACAGAUUAUAACGACUGCGGAUACCUCAGACUGGCCGAGUAAACUUCGAUGAUCAAGAAAUCCCACGAUCAAGGAUCGUUAAAUAUCGUGGAUCGCGCUCGCACGAUAAAUUAAUGCGGAAAAUACAAAAUUACAAGAAAAUCUAUACACUGGCUGACAGCUGGCUGACAGUUGGCUUGGGAACAGGACAGAAACGGCCUAGGAACUUGGGCAGACUUGAGACAAGUUUGCCAAGUGGAAUAUCAGAAAAAUUGAGAAUCUCCAGUCUGGCGCUGUUCGAAACGACGACAACGGAAGAACAGAAAAGAGGAGAUAAGAAAAACGUUAAAAAUAGCACGGUUUUGCAGACAAUUUGGAGGAAAAGAAUCGCUCGAACCCAUUGGCUGACAACUGUUUGAGAAAUUCGCACGUCGCUAACACGCGUAGACAUACAAAAUACCGAUAAACGUACCGAAAUCGACACGUGGAAUACAUGCAAUUAAGAACGAGAUGUAAUCGAUUCUACCAAAUUAGAAAUUAGGUUUACAAAGGAGGCGCAAAAAAAAAAAAAAAAAAGAAGCCCCGCGCAGUUAUGAAACAAAUGAAUACGUUUGCAUGAGAAUUUAACAAAAUAUUCUUCAAAUGUAUCUUUAUUAAAUACAAAAACUGUCGUAAGAAUAAACGUACUACACGCUUUUCCCGGAACAGUGGCCAACAAAUCGCUCUCUUGCUCUCACAACCACAGAAGACCCCUUAAUUCAAAUGAUCGAUAAGAACAAACACAUGAGAACAAACGUGAUUCUUUGUUUCUAUCGCGUGUUUCGCUUUGCACGGUAACCGAGCCUCUUUGUUAGCUUUAGCUCUUCGUGUUUCACAUAUUUCUUAAAUCGUCCUUGCAGAAAAGUAAUACGACUAGAUCAGAAGUAAUUCAGCGAUAAAGAUUCUGAAACAAGAUCAUCGACUAAUCAUACGUACUAGCUAAUAAAACAUACGGUUACAAGGUGAUCGGCUGGCAAAGCUACUACGAAUGCCAAAUGGAAAGUCAGCUAAUGAUACCGAUUAAAAAAUAUCGUGUUUUAAGGUAGAAAAACGCGAGUUUCAAUUUUCAUUUCGCUUCGCUACGUUCGUCGAUAUUUCGUUCGAAGAUAUUCCUCGUAAAAGCAAAUUUUUUACGUUCAGAUAGAUUACUCUGUAUGCUUUCUUCAACGAUUCGUCGUGUAAUUUCUGCGAGCGAUCCAAUACGCCAUAUGGAACUUAUAAUAGAACAAAGUUUUUCUCGUUACAAUAGGAUGAAUCGUGAGACAUUAAGAUUAAAACUAGUUUUAUCAUGUCUGACGACACGAAAAUCGGCAUGAAAAUAUUUUAUAUAAAAUUUAAAAUACCACGCGAGUUACAUAACGAACAGAAACUAUUCUGUAAUAGUAUGAACGUUUUCAUAGUUUCCUAUAAAAAUGAAUAGCUUUAUGCAACUAGACGUUUUAUAUACAAAUCCAAUAAUUGCGUAAUAGCUGCGUAUCGAGCUUUGCAAAUUAGUUUAUAUCGGGUUUCAUUUCAUCGAUUAAUUUGUUGCAUAAUCGUUCUAGACAAGUACGAUUCGUAAUGCUAAUUCUUGUUACAUAUUCAAUUUAUUAAAAAGUCGCUAAAAAUAAAAACGAUCGUAUCUCUUGUAUUAUGCUGUAUAACGUUCGCCGUCUUAUCGAUGUUGUUGCAUAAUUACACGUUAUUACGCUAUUCAGCUGGAAAUCGAUUGAAUACUUUUGCAUAGUAAAAUACAUAAACAGGUACUUGUUCUUCUCGAUAAAUAAUCGUUGGUUAAACACGUUUCGACGAUAUCGUCGAAAACGCAAGAAACGUGUCUGCUCGUGUUUGACGAUUCAUCCUAUUUUACACACACGCUUUUAGUUUUCUUCGUACAUGUUCACAGAGUCUCAACGAAUAAAUCAAAAUUAAAUAUCGAUUGGUCGAUGCUUGUUUGUUGCAUGCUGAUACAAAGUUCAGGAAGCAUACUCGUUUCCCUUAUACGUACUUGCAGGAAAACAUCGAUAACUAAUUGGAAUAAAAGUACAAGAAACACCUUUUCCUUUAUAUGCUAUACUACCUGAUUGCACCUCGUAUUGCCCCAUUCUAUCUUACAAGAUCUAUUAAAUUACCUUAUAAAAGUUUGUUAAAUAUACUAUGACAACUAAAAGUUUACGACAAAAGCAGAUCUUACGUUUACGGUAUUUAGCCUUGCUUAUUCGUUUAUCAACGGAUAAUUUUUAUGAUUGCGCAUGCUGAAUAUCCUAUGUAUACUGUACUGUUGCUGUAAUUCAAAAUUAAGUACUCGUUUAAACGUAUAUUUGCAUGUCACGUUCGGUCAUUGCAUUUCCUAAUAGUAAUAAAAUCAAACGAGUUACAGAAUUUUUAAUUUAGCGGAUACAAAUACAAUAGAAAUUUAAUUUAGUAUUUCUUUCAACGAAAGAUCGUUAACGAAAUUUCAUAUCCGUCAACGAAGAUUACAAUUAACACAUUAAGAUUACAAUUAAGAUUUUCACAAGGUUAAGGUUAAGGUAUGGCGCCAUUUAGAAAAAUAAAGAAUAGAGCGAUCGAAUAUUAUAGGUUAGAAAAUGCAAUAAUCUUGAUACAUGGUAUGUUUCCACUAGCAAAUCAAAACGUACAUAAUGUGAUUUCACUAUACGGAAAAAGAGUAAAAAGUAUGUUGUGCAGCGUACUAGUUGAUGUUUCUGCUCAUGAUCUCUAUUACUAUCGCUAAUCGUAAUUUGAGAACGUACACCCGUGUGUAUUAUCUACUUUUGUAUUUAAAUAUAAAUAUGACUUUCUCGAUUUGCCACACAUUCUAUACAUUACAUAUACAUGUAUAAUAGUAAUACGUAAAAACUGACUUUCAUCUAAAGUUAUUAAAUAAAUUUGAUAAACGUACUGUAACAAAGUUCUCUAACAACUUGUCAAAUUUACGCGUAACUUAGCAAACACGAGUACUCGCGAUGUAAAUAUUUUGUACAAAACACUUUGUCUUUGUCAGAGUAAAUAUAUAUAUAUAUGUAUGUUAAGUUACUAAGAUUUAAAUAUACGUACGUAGUAGUGCAAAAAGUAAACAAAUAGUAAAACGAAGGUAUUU